rnacentral:rRNA from 1 species
GAUGAACGCUGGCGGCGUGCCUAAUACAUGCAAGUCGAGCGAACAGAUGAGGAGCUUGCUCCUCUGACGUUAGCGGCGGACGGGUGAGUAACACGUGGAUAACCUACCUAUAAGACUGGGAUACUUCGGGAAACCGGAGCUAAUACCGGAUAAUAUAUUGAACCGCAUGGUUCAAUAGUGAAAGACGGUUUUGCUGUCACUUAUAGAUGGAUCCGCGCCGCAUUAGCUAGUUGGUAAGGUAACGGCUUACCAAGGCAACGAUGCGUAGCCGACCUGAGAGGGUGAUCGGCCACACUGGAACUGAGACACGGUCCAGACUCCUACGGGAGGCAGCAGUAGGGAAUCUUCCGCAAUGGGCGAAAGCCUGACGGAGCAACGCCGCGUGAGUGAUGAAGGUCUUCGGAUCGUAAAACUCUGUUAUUAGGGAAGAACAAAUGUGUAAGUAACUAUGCACGUCUUGACGGUACCUAAUCAGAAAGCCACGGCUAACUACGUG